rnacentral:rRNA from 1 species
UACGUAGGGGGCAAGCGUUGUCCGGAAUCAUUGGGCGUAAAGAGCGUGUAGGUGGCUCGGUAAGUCCGCUGUAAAAGUCCAGGGCUCAACCCUGGAAAGCCGGUGGAAACUGUCGAGCUAGAGUCCGGAAGAGGCGAGUGGAAUUCCUGGUGUAGCGGUGAAAUGCGCAGAUAUCAGGAAGAACACCGGUGGCGAAGGCGGUGGGCUGGGCCGGCACUGACGCUGAGGAGCGAAAGCGUGGGGAGCGAACAGG